AACGAACGCUGGCGGCAUGCCUAACACAUGCAAGUCGAACGAGACCUUCGGGUCUAGUUGCGCACGGGUGCGUAACGCGUGGGAACCUGCCCUUAGGUUCGGAAUACCUCCCCGAAAGGGGUGCUAAUACCGGAUAAUUUCUUCUGACCAAAGAUUUAUCGCCUUUGGAUGGGCCCGCGUUGGAUUAGCUAGUUGGUAGGGUAAAAGCCUACCACGGCGACGAUCCAUAGCUGGUCUGAGAGGAUGAUCAGCCACACUGGGACUGAGACACGGCCCAGACUCCUACGGGAGGCAGCAGUGGGGAAUAUUGGACAAUGGGCGAAAGCCUGAUCCAGCAAUGCCGCGUGAGUGAUGAAGGCCUUAGGGUUGUAAAGCUGUUUUACCCGGGAUGAUAAUGACAGUACCGGGAGAAUAAGCUCCGGCUAACUCCGUG
rnacentral:rRNA from 1 species